rnacentral:rRNA from 1 species
AUACAAAACCAAUGCCCUUCGGGGCUCUCUUGGUGAUUCAUGAUAACUUCUCGAAUCGCACGGCCCCGCGCCGGCGAUGGUUCAUUCAAAUUUCUUCCCCAUCAACUUUCGAUGCUACGGUAUUGUCCUAGCAUGGUUG